UACGAAGGGGGGCUAGCGUUGUUCGGAUUUACUGGGCGUAAAGCGCACGUAGGCGGAUGUUUAAGUUAGGGGUGAAAAUCCCAGGGCUCAACCCUGGAACUGCCUCUAAUACUGGGCAUCUAGAGUCCGAGAGAGGUGAGUGGAAUUCCGAGUGUAGAGGUGAAAUUCGUAGAUAUUCGGAGGAACACCAGUGGCGAAGGCGGCUCACUGGCUCGGUACUGACGCUGAGGUGCGAAAGCGUGGGGAGCAAACAGG
rnacentral:rRNA from 1 species